CCUACGGGAGGCAGCAGUGGGGAAUUUUGGACAAUGGGCGAAAGCCUGAUCCAGCCAUGCCGCGUGCAGGAAGAAGGCCUUCGGGUUGUAAACUGCUUUAGUUCGGGAAAAAGGGAUGCUUGGUUAAUACCCGAGUGUUUUGAUGGUACCGGAAGAAUAAGCACCGGCUAACUACGUGCCAGCAGCCGCGGUAAUACGUGGGGUGCGAGCGUUAAUCGGAAUUACUGGGCGUAAAGCGUGCGCAGGCGGUCUUGUAAGACAGUCGUGAAAUCCCUGGGCUUAACCUAGGAACUGCGAUUGUGACUGCAAGGCUAGAGUGUGUCAGAGGGGGGUGGAAUUCCACGUGUAGCAGUGAAAUGCGUAGAGAUGUGGAGGAACACCGAUGGCGAAGGCAGCCCCCUGGGAUAACACUGACGCUCAUGCACGAAAGCGUGGGGAGCAAACAGGAUUAGAUACCCUGGUAGUCCACGCCCUAAACGAUGUCGACUGGUUGUUGGGUGGGUAACCACUUAGUAACGAAGCUAACGCGUGAAGUCGACCGCCGNGGAGUACGGUCGCGAGAAUAAACUACAAGAAGUAGUAGACGNGNGAGAGCGACGACGACGACGACGGAGGAGGAGG
rnacentral:rRNA from 1 species